rnacentral:rRNA from 1 species
GAUGAACGCUGGCGGCGUGCCUAAUACAUGCAAGUCGAGCGAACAGAUGAUGAGCUUGCUCCUCUGACGUGAGCGGCGGACGGGUGAGUAACACGUGUAUAACCUACCUAUAAGACUGGUAUAACUUCGAGAAACCGGAGCUAAUCCCGGAGAAUAUAUUGAACCGCAUGGUUCAAUAGUGAAAUACGGUUUUGCUGGCACUUAUAGAUGCAUCCCCGCCGCAUUAGCUAGUUGGUAAGCUAACGGCUUACCAAGGCAACGAUGCGUAGCCGACGUGAGAGGGUGAUAGGCGACACUGGAACUGAGCCACGGUCCAGACUCCUACGGGAGGCAGCAGUAGGGAAUCUUACGCAAUGGGCGAAAGCCUGACGGAGCAACGCCGAGUGAGUGAUGAAGGUCUUCGGAUCGUAAAACUCUGUUACUAGGGAAGAACAAAUGUGUAAGUAAAUAUGCACGUAUUGACGGUAACUAAUAAGAAAGCCACGGCUAACUACGUG